rnacentral:misc_RNA from 1 species
UCCGACUUGACGUCGGCAGUCUCGGUAGAGUGCUCAACUUAAUGGUGGCAACUACCGACAGAGGUUGCGCUCGUUGCGGCACUUAAGCCAACACCUCACGGCACGAGCUGACGACAGCCAUGCAGCACCUGUGCUGGCCCCUUACGGACACGCGCUUUCACGCGCUUUAACCAGCAUGUCAAGCCCAGGUAAGGUUCUUCGCGUUGCAUCGAAUUAAGCCACAUGCUCCGCCGCUUGUGCGGGUCCCCGUCAAUUCCUUUGAGUUUUAACCUUGCGGCCGUACUCCCCAGGCGGUCAACUUCACGCGUUAGCUUCGUUACCAAGGAAUUGCUUCCCCGACAACCAGUUGACAUAGUUUAGGGCGUGGACUAC